rnacentral:rRNA from 1 species
CCCUUAGAUGUUCUGGGUCGCACGCGCGCUACACUGAUGCAUUCAACGAUCCUAGCCUUGACCGAGAGGUCCGGGUAAUCUUUGAAACUGCAUCGUGAUGGGGCUAGAUUAUUGCAAUUAUUAAUCUUCAACGAGGAAUGCCUAGUAAGCGUGAGUCAUCAGCUCGCGUUGAUUACGUCCCUGCCCUUUGUACACACCGCCCGUCGCUACUACCGAUUGAAUGGCUUAGUGAGGUCUCCGGAUUGGCGUCGGGGAUCCGGCAACGGAACCCCUUCGCUGAGAAGCUGAUCAAACUUGGUCAUUUAGAGGAAGUAAAAGUCGUAACA